UCCCUGGUGGCUCAGUUGGUAAAGCAUCUGCCUGCAAUGUGGGAGACCUGGGUUCAAUCCCUGGUUGGGGGA
rnacentral:tRNA from 1 species